UGACCUCUGACUCCCAAACCCGGGCUCUUUCCACUGAGCCACGCUGCUUCUCCAGAGGAGAGACGGAGAGAGUGGAGCAGCAGCCACGCCGAGCCGCCGUGCGAACAUCUUGACUAGCCAUUCUGGAGCCUCAGCGAGGUCACCCGAGCGGGAGCAGCUGGAGGAGGCCAGACGACCCCCACACCCCCAGGAUCUUGUCGUCAGCCCCUUGAAGUGCCCCCCUAAUUCAGGGUCCUGAGUUGCAGCAAGAUCACCACCCUGUUGGCAGUCCACACCAGAAGAGGAGCCAGGGGCACUGUUCAUAAGGACGUGUUGACCCACCGUUGAAAUAGUCAGCUUCAUGCAGCUGCUGCACGGACAAGCUUCCUAAAGCAUCACUGCUUGGCCUUACCUCCCCUCAAAACGCUCUACUGGCUCUCUCUCUGUGUCUCCCCACAUCAAGCUCUUCACAGUCAGCUUCAAGGCUCUCCACCACCUGGACUCCACCUUACCUAGCUGCUCUCUGACACUGCAAGCAACUCUGCUGUAUUGUACUCUCCCAAGCACUUAGUUCAGUGCUGUGCAUACAACGAGCACUCAAAUAUCACUGACUGAUUGGGCAGGAGACUCACCGUGAGAACUGGACGACAGAGAAGGGUCGAAGGGCCUCAUCCUCACCUGUGGAUGACGUGUCCAGAAGAUUGAUGAGGAGCGUCGCCAGCCCCUCAAAACUUAUUCCCUGUCUGUGACGAGGGAGACCGUAGUCACUCUCGGUGGUGCUGUGGAUCCCCACAAGAGCUUCAGAGACCCCCACACAUCCUUGUUGGCCCUCGUUUCAGGACACUGCAGCUGAGGCGUCUCCCCAGUGUCCCUGUUGUUCUCUGACACGUCCUGUUGGACAUGACUUGUCCAGUUUGGAUCCCUUCGGUCGGGGCCAAAGGAGCUCCAAGGAGCUGUCUGUCCACCGAUCCAUUGACUUGCUUCACGGAGCUCUCUCCCCAACCCGGACCAAAGGCCUAGGCUUGGUCCCACGGAGGGGGCGCACACACUGAGAGCCGACCACAUGGGCUGCAUCCGUGUUGUUGAGGAGCUUCUUCAAGACAUCUUCAUUUCUCCUAGGGUCCGACAUGUGGCCUGUUGGACAAUUCAAGACGUCAGGUUCAUCACUAGCAAAAGUUUGGGAUGUGGCGAAGCCACUAUUGACCCAGGGCUUGACCCUGAGUCAAAAGGCAGAAUUGCAAACAUUCUCCAGAUCUUUCCAUCAGAUGACAGUCAAUAAAGUGCAACUGCUUAAA